GAUCGCAUUUAUUUACAAUUUCAACUUGUUGUGUUCUAAUUUGUGCAUAUUCUGACUCAGUAGUAAUCUUCUCAUUUACCAUUAUCUGUAGUGUGGGUAGAAAUAGUAAUAUGAGAAUCCCUGUCGCAAUCAGUACCUGCAAGUUGGGAUUUAUUAUUGGGUAGAAUCGAUCUCUCUACUAAGGUGAAGUAAAAAAUGUAUGAUUCUCAAGCGGAAAUAAGAACGAUUAAAACGGAACUUUCUUCAUCACGGAUGAAUGAUAGUAAUCUUUCAAAUAUAAUUGAGAUCAUUUGAGCCGGUAUUUGAAAACAAAUUUGGACACUUCAAUUAAAAGUCAAUAAAGCGACAUUGAAUACAUAUAAAAAGUACGUUGAAAACAAGUGGCUGGAGACAUUGAUUGAUAAAUUAUAAACAAAUGAAAAGAGAUUAGCUCCAGAAAUGAAUCCGCCAUCAAAGGAAUUGCGUGCAGCACGAAAAUGAAAUGUUCUUUGGAAAGUCAAUCAAACUUAGGAACCGGAAGAAUAGUCCCAUCAAUUCUCGAUCUAUUGUUUGCUAUAAGAAACACAAAGCAAAAAAUGGGCAUACCAGAUUACAACCCAAAGUAUUGGCAAUCGUGCCCUCCUGUUAAGUACACCCCACUACAAAGUGCGUGUGACAUGAGACCAAGAUUGAGAAAAC